AUGGCAGCGGCGGCGAUGCCGCCACGGCGCGCGCCGUGUUCGACGCGAUGCCCGCCGCGACGCCGUCGCGUGGAACGCCAUCCUCACCUCCAACGUCUGCGCCGGCCAGCCGCGCGCGGCCCUCGCGCUCUUCGCCGGCAUGGGCACGCCGGACGCCUUCUCCCUCACCGCCGUGCUCUCCGCGGCGGCGGCCAUCCGCUCGCCCGGCGCCAGCGCGCAGCUCCACGCCCACCUUCUCCGCAGCGGCUGCGCGCGCCGCUCCCCGUCGGCAAUGCGCUCGUCGUCAUGUACGCCAGGUGUGACUGCACGGACGACACCACGCGCGCCUUCUGGGAGAUGCAUGACCGCAACACACCGUCCUGGUGCUCGCUCCUCCACGCCCACGUCGCCUCGGGCCGCAUGGCGCUCGCGCGCGAGCUGUUCGACAAAAUGCCCGCUAGAAGCAUCAACAGUGUUCCUGGAACACGCUGCUCACGGUGUUGA
rnacentral:rRNA from 1 species